UAGGCCUACGGGAGGCAGCAGUAGGGAAUCUUCCACAAUGGACGAAAGUCUGAUGGAGCAACGCCGCGAGAGUGAAGAAGGGUUUCGGCUCGUAAAGCUCUGUUGGUAGUGGAGAAAGAUAGAGGUAGUAAAUGGCCUUUAUUUGACGGUAAUUACUUAGAAAGUCACGGCUAACUACGUGCCAGAAGCCGCGGUAAUACGUAGGUGGUAAGCGUUGUCCGGAUUUUUUGGGCGUAAAGCGAGUGCAGGUGGGUGCAG
rnacentral:rRNA from 1 species